GUACAAUUUUCACAGUAUUGUCAGAUACGACGUCACCUAUGCCGUCAUGUAACAUUAUUUCUGGGAUGAUAAGCCAUUGAAUCAAUAACUUAACUGUUUCAGGAAUAUUAGUUAUGCAGGUACUUUCCCCAUUUCAGAAAGUCCCAAAAAAGCUCAGUCUGAAUCGGGUUGUUCCAGCUGAUAUUUUUAAGAGAUAUGGAACAUUUGUGUAUAAUAUGUUUUUAUGUGUACAUAUCCUGUUCCAGCUGACAUUUUUAAGAAAUAUAAAACAUAUAUGUGUAAUAUAU